AAUGAAUGCUUGUUGAAUGUUCUUGGUCUUAGAUCGUGUUAUAGGUCUAGUUGGAACAUUUUGAACAUCGUGAUCCUUAUCAAGAUGCUUGCACGGUGCAGAGUUUGGAUUGGUCUCGGGCUGUUCCUACAGUGCGCAGGUUGUGGCUGACGGUACUUGGCUCAAUUGGGUUGAAUAGUUGCAGUGGGCCGAGCGAUCGAUGCUGUAGGUGGGCUUCGGGGCUUGAUUCACGGCUAUUGGGCUUCACGUUGGUCGUGGGCCUAGAGUUGGGUUUGUCCUAGUUGCGUAUUUCGGCCGAACUAAAUGUUGAUCGUGGGUUGGCUCUCGUACUAGGUAACUCGAAUCUAACCCCAGUCAACCGAAAUUGGUUAUCUUCUCACCUGGCUCGCCUUCAAUUUUCUUCAACUUUCUCUCUAUUCCCGAAUCAUUUUUCGAUGAUUCUUUUCGUCGUCCUCCUCUUGUGACCUUCCGUUUGUUGUUUCCGUCACCCCCACAACAUUACAAAUCCUUGUAAUUACCUAUACACAUAGAUCCAUCGAUAUUUUUAAGCUUUCCAAAAAUUGGAUCUUGCCCGAGAUUGAGUCUGAGGGAAGGCUUUGUGCGUAUUCUUCUCCUCUGUGAUCUGUUUUCUCUCCAGAUGACAGGGGUAUGGAGUCCUUGGAAGUGUUGAGGAGCGUUGAGGAAGCUUGGCCUCGUGGAUUUCUCUUUCAAGAAAGACUUUUUAGAAGAUUCUCCGAUGAUCCUUGCUUUGUGUUUAAGACUUUUUAAGAAGAUUAAACCAGACGAUAUUCAACUAUUGUAAGAGGUAGAACAAGUAGAUUCAAGACCGCCAAAAAAUUCUCCAUAUAUCUUUCAAAUUAGCUUGCAAGGAGGUAGAAACCUUAGCUUGCAAGACUAUUUGAAGUAUUUCAAGCUUGUAAGACUCCUUGAAGUAUUUCAAUGUAGAAGUUCUUCCACAUUCCACAAAAUCUUUGUUGCUAUGACUCAAUUACAAGGCUAAGACUUAUGGGAGCCUUUUGAAAGAAAACUCAACCUUAUCAAUAAUGUUACUCGGAUAAGGCACCCAACCUUAUCAAUAUACCGUCUAAGCUAUUAUUUGAACACGAUCUAUUUGUAUGUCAACCACAUAUUGCUCAAGAUUAUAUUAAUAACUUUGGA